UACGGAGGGGGCUAGCGUUGUUCGGAAUUACUGGGCGUAAAGCGCGUGUAGGCGGCCUUGCAAGUCGGAUGUGAAAGCCCUGGGCUCAACCCAGGAAGUGCACUCGAAACUGCAAGGCUUGAGUUCCGGAGAGGAAAGCGGAAUUCUCGGUGUAGAGGUGAAAUUCGUAGAUAUCGAGAGGAACACCAGUGGCGAAGGCGGCUUCCUGGCCUGUUCUUGACGCUGAGGCGCGAAAGCUAGGGGA
rnacentral:rRNA from 1 species